GACUAGUCAGAAGCUAGCUAGCUCAUGCUGUGCCUGCCCGUAAUAGCAGGAGCCUGACUUGGUGACACAGGAAUACUUUCCAGUCCGGUGUUCUUUGUGCUCAAAUCCAUUCUGCUGGGCAUAGCACUAGCAGCUUUGACAAACACACCUUGCUGUUUCCCCCAUCGUUUUUAUAUAUCUGAAGCAACUAGAGGCAGUAGCAUGCCUGCUUCUAUUAAGUGGGUUUAGAAUCUCCUCCAGCCUGGCGAAAUUCCACCACCCUGAAAUCAGCUCAGCCCUGCGAGCUGGCAGAUGACAUGGAUGGUCUAAGCUGUCUUCCAGCCAAGACCUCUUCCCACUGUAGGCAAAGCCAACCAGCCGCUGGGAUGACCGCGUGCUGCUUUUGCUACGAAGAGUGUAUCCGUCUCUCCCUCUGAAAGCAGGACUUUUAUCAUACAAAUUUUGUGAAAGUCAACAUUUUUUUCAAGUAGGUACCAGGGAAGUUUUGGAAGUCUCAAAAAUAUUCACAGGAAAGGAGAAGCAAUUCUUGCUGAUCUCAGCUUGGAUCUUUGGGGGAGUAUGACAUUUUCUGCAAAAUUGACAGAAAACAGCUGGAAGCAACCUGGGUGACUUUGUACCAAAGCAGAUGGGACAUAAGCACACUGUUCUGCUAACUCAUCUUCCCUUCAAGCACUGUGGAGCAAUAACUUUCAGAAACAACAUGGUGGGAUUGUGCUCACCAGAGACUGAACGCCAGCUGAAACAGCUGAAACGUGGCCCUUACAUCAUAUGCAGCCCUGGCAAAAGGGAAAACUCAUAGAGCAGAUCAUCUCCCUCACCUGCCCUCCAGAAA